rnacentral:tRNA from 1 species
GGCGACAUGGCCAAGUGGUAAGGCGGGGGAUUGCAAAUCCUUUAUCCCCAGUGGGUGUCGCCU